rnacentral:piRNA from 1 species
ACCUGUGCCCAGUACUCUUAGAAAU